UACAGAGGGUGCGAGCGUUGUUCGGAAUUAUUGGGCGUAAAGAGCGCGUAGGCGGUUUGCUAAGUCUGAUGUGAAAGCCCUCGGCUUAACCGAGGAAGUGCAUUGGAUACUGGCAGGCUUGAGUGUGAGAGAGGGUAGUGGAAUACCUGGUGUAGCGGUGAAAUGCGUAGAUAUCAGGUGGAACACCGGUGGCGAAGGCGGCUACCUGGAUCAUAACUGACGCUGAGGCGCGAAAGCAUGGGGAGCAAACAGG
rnacentral:rRNA from 1 species